AGAGUUUGAUCAUGGCUCAGGAUGAACGCUAGCGGCAGGNUUAACNCAUGCAAGUCGAGGGGUAACAUUGUAGCUUGCUACAGAUGACGACCGGCGCACGGGUGCGUAACGCGUAUACAAUCUACCUUUUGCUGAGGGAUAGCCCAGAGAAAUUUGGAUUAAGACCUCAUGGUAUUAUUAAUUGGCAUCAAUAAAUAAUUAAAGGUUACGGCAAAAGAUGAGUACGCGUUCUAUUAGCUAGAUGGUGUGGUAACGGCACACCAUGGCGACGAUAGAUAGGGGCCCUGAGAGGGGGAUCCCCCACACUGGUACUGAGACACGGACCAGACUCCUACGGGAGGCAGCAGUGAGGAAUAUUGGACAAUGGAGGCAACUCUGAUCCAGCCAUGCCGCGUGCAGGAAGACUGCCCUAUGGGUUGUAAACUGCUUUUAUACAGGAAGAAACCCCCGCUCGUGAGCGGGACUGACGGUACUGUAAGAAUAAGGAUCGGCUAACUCCGUGCCAGCAGCCGCGGUAAUACGGAGGAUCCAAGCGUUAUCCGGAAUCAUUGGGUUUAAAGGGUCCGUAGGUGGAUAAUUAAGUCAGAGGUGAAAUCCUGCAGCUCAACUGUAGAAUUGCCUUUGAAACUGGUUAUCUUGAGUCAUUAUGAAGUGGUUAGAAUGUGUAGUGUAGCGGUGAAAUGCAUAGAUAUUACACGGAAUACCGAUUGCGAAGGCAGAUCACUAAUAAUGUACUGACACUGAUGGACGAAAGCGUGGGGAGCGAACAGGAUUAGAUACCCUGGUAGUCCACGCCGUAAACGAUGGUCACUAGCUGUUCGAACUUCGGUUUGAGUGGCUAAGAGAAAUUGAUAAGUGACCCACCUGGGGAGUACGUUCGCAAGAAUGAAACUCAAAGGAAUUGACGG
rnacentral:rRNA from 1 species